AUGAAAGAGAUUUCGGGAUAUUCUUAGAUGUGAACAAGAAGAGAACAGUUUUCAUGGGAGGAAUCUUGAAGUAGACAUUAAUGACGAAGAAAUUUUGGCUUACAAAUUGUCAACUAAUGCCUGAACUACAGAUUGGUUUAUACAAAAAAAGGGAGGUGGGUGAGAUCAAAUUAUGAACCAUAUAUGAUUAUUUCUGUCUUAAACAUGUUGACAAAAUAUGUCUGAGAAAAACCACAGUAAAUAUAUUGAGAAGUUGUUGUAAAUAUCAGUUUGAAGUUUUGAAUACAUUGAUAUUGGGUGUGUUAUAAGAUUAUAUAUGUCUAACUAAAAACUGCUUGAGUAGUUGAUAUUAUCAAGGAAAGAUUUACAUAGUCAAAUGAGCAAAUUAAGAAUGAAAUCAUACAAAAGGAUGUUUUAAGAUUAACUGUGGAAGACAUGCUUAUCCUAGUUGUAUCUUAAAGGAACUCAAAUAUUCAUUGAAUUAAGAAAGAAAGAAAGAAAGAAAGAAAGAAAGAAAGAAAGAAAGGAAGGAAGGAAGGAAGGAAGGAAGGAAGGAAGGAAGAAAGAAAGAAAGAAAGAAAGAAAGAAAGAAAGAAAGAAAGAAAGAAAGAAAGAAAGAAAGAGAGAGAGAGAAAGGGAAGAGAAAACUGACAAACUCAAAUCAGAAAACCAGUAAAUUGUCCUUUUUAUUAUAUAGUUUAUAAAAUUCUCUUACAGGAAUAAUCUAACCAAACAAAAUGAAUAAAUGUCUUUGCAAUGGUAGAAGGUAAUUGACAAGAUUAGGUUUAGUGAAAUCAAAGAUAUAGGAGUUAUACUUUAUAGGGGAUAUAGUAUCCACUACAGGAAAAAAUUUUCAAUGUCCAGUUUCCUUUAAUUACCUUCAUCUCCAUGGAAGGCUGGAUGCAGGCAGCUAGGCGACAACAAGACAUGUUCUCUCGAAGAUCUUGUUUUGAUUGAAGUCCUUGCCCUUAAGCUCCAAGGUCUCCUUCCAGGAAAAGUAUUCUCUAACCGAGUCUGGAUCACCUCACUACCAGGAUCCAGUUUCCAUCAUGUAGAUGACUCAUAAUCCACCAGCCAGUCUGGACUCCGUAGGGAGGAGGACAUUUGGUCUUAGAAUAUCCAAAUGCCAGAAACACAGAUCCUAUUGUUGGUUCCAAAGAGGGUGACACUAGAAAGGAAUUCUUCCUCAGUUUGUAAAGUAACUGGAACAGUCCAAUGAUGAGUUUGCUUUUUUUGUUUUGUUUUGUUUUGUUUUUGCAACUCAUGAAGGUCUAGAUAGGAUCUUCAGUGAAACAGUUCUCAGCAUACCACAGGGACCAGUCAUCCUUACCAAAAUGCUUUCAAUUAUGGCAAUGACACAAAGUAGUGUAUGUGUCCUUGUUGGCAUAAUUACACUUGAACUCAUCCAACACAAAGGCAUUGUUGGGCAGGUGAGCUGAGGGACCCUUGACCUUGGGUUCAGCCGCCAGUGCUUUCUCACUUUAAUCCAUCUCCUCCUCAGGAGAUGAGGUAGCUAGCUGCCUUUUUGUCCUCUUUCCACUCACCCCCAGGCUUCUCUUUCUCUUCCUGCGAAUCCUUUUCUUUCCUUGGUACGUCCUUUUUUGAUAGGCACUAGGCAAACUUCUCAGCAUCAAACUAGGCGAUCUUCUCAUACAACUUCAGCCCUGAAAUGUGUCUGGCUAAUGCAGGUAAGGAACCAGUCUGUAUUAGAGUUUUACUGCUGUGAACAGGCACCAUGACCAAGGCAAGUCUUACAAAAAAAGCAACAUUUAAUUGGGGCUGGCUUACAGGUUCAGAGGUUCAGUCCAUUAUCAUCAAGGUGGGAGCAUGGCAGUAUCCAGGCAGGCAUCAUGCAGGAGGAGCUGAGAGUUCUAUGUCUUCAUCCAAAGGCUGCUAGUGCAAGACUGACUUCCAGGCAACUAGGGUGAGGAUCUUAUACCCACACCCACAGUGACACACCCAUUCCAACCAGGUCACACCUAUUCCAACAAGGCCACACCUUCAGAUGGUGCCACUCCCUGGUCCAAGGAUAUACAAACCAUCAUACAGUCUUUGGUACUAUAGAAGGCCUGGGUAAAGAAGGCUCUAAGAUCUAUUUAUAGAGCCACAGCAGAGUGCCGACUACUGUGAUAUCAGCCAUUGUCACUAUCAUGAAAAUUCCUGGUCUUCAAGAGAGAGACCAACAGCCUUACCUCCCCUGUACAUUGGCAGUUUCAGUGGCCUGUUUUGUUGUGCAUGAUGCCCAUGGUGGGAACACUCAGAUGCUGUCAAAGCAAUGACAGCUCUGUUAGCAAAGCUCACCCAGACCCCACCUGAGCUCCUGCCUCUGGAGUCCUAACUGGAAGCUUCUCGUGGCUUACCUAUUGGGGAGUAUCAUUACUCUCAAACACACAGAAUCCGCUGCCAUCACCCUCAAAUACUGGAACCCUGCUAGCAUUAAGAUUUCUGAGAAAUUCCAGGGUGCAGUUGGCUUGGCCAACAUGGAAAUGGGGUAGUACAGGUAGCAGAGGGGCCUGAGGCCCACUGUACUGAGCAGCUAAAGCCUGACUGUUUUCAGAAUGUAUGUACAGUGUCAAAGCUACCAUGGUGUGAUUCUACGCAGAAGGGGCAAAACAUUUACAUGAGAAUACUAGGAAAUUAACUAAAACACUUUCAGUAUUUAAAAUUAAUUGAAUUGAUUGUCGGAAAAAUUUUAAAUUAUAAUAAGAUUUGCUGAAAUAUGCCUUCUCUUCUGCCAGUUUUUCAAAUUAAAGGAAGUAUGCAGGUUGCUUAUUUGAUAAUGUUUUUGCAAGAAAACAUAGUUCACUAUUCUAGAGCCAGCAAGGAAACUCUAGAAAGCAGUUGCCCCUGGAACAUAAGGGGUGUAAAUGGGUGAAUGGGAGACAGAGCAACAGGUCUGGGGUUGAGGUAACACGUUUCCAUAGUCAAGUCCCAUUUCAAGUUAGCCAGUCUCAGUCCACUGGACCUGGUUUCUCACAUCUGUUGGUUAAAAGAAGGAAUGUAACUAUCUGUUGUUAUCAGAAAUAAAAAGGGUCAUUUAAAUUUUAAAAAGAUGAACAGGUCCACUAUGGACAAAAAUGUGUUUCUAUAGCUGCAGGUAUUUGCAUAAGAUACACAGCAUAUGAACAGAAACAUACAAAGAUACUCAGGAAUGUUAAAAUUAAACUUUAUUUAUAGUUGUUUAUGUAAGUUAGCCCUGGAGAAAUUCUCUCCGCUGUACUCAGCUCUGUUCUGCUAUAGGAACCAGAAUUGGUUUGUUUACUUGGUUCUCAAUGUACUUUCCAUUCCUUAAGCUUCUUGGACUUUUCCAUAGAUUUAUUGCACUGAGAAGUCCCUAUGUUCAUCUGCUAUCUGUGUUGAUUAGCCUGAAGGACUCCAUUUGACAUUUCUUGAAGUGUAGGUCUGUUGAGGAUGGAUUCUUUUCACCUUAUGUUCUUUUAAAAAUUGAUUUGUUCACCCUCAUCUUUCC
rnacentral:lncRNA from 1 species